UAAUACAUGCAAGUCGAGCGGACCGACGGGAGCUUGCUCCCUUAGGUCAGCGGCGGACGGGUGAGUAACACGUGGGUAACCUGCCUGUAAGACUGGGAUAACUCCGGGAAACCGGGGCUAAUACCGGAUGCUUGAUUGAACCGCAUGGUUCAAUCAUAAAAGGUGGCUUUUAGCUACCACUUGCAGAUGGACCCGCGGCGCAUUAGCUAGUUGGUGAGGUAACGGCUCACCAAGGCGACGAUGCGUAGCCGACCUGAGAGGGUGACCGGCCACACUGGGACUGAGACACGGCCCAGACUCCUACGGGAGGCAGCAGUAGGGAAUCUUCCGCAAUGGACGAAAGUCUGACGGAGCAACGCCGCGUGAGUGAUGAAGGUUUUCGGAUCGUAAAACUCUGUUGUUAGGGAAGAACAAGUACCGUUCGAAUAGGGCGGUACCUUGACGGUACCUAACCAGAAAGCCACGGCUAACUACGUGCCAGCAGCCGCGGUAAUACGUAGGUGGCAAGCGUUGUCCGGAAUUAUUGGGCGUAAAGCGCGCGCAGGCGGUUUCUUAAGUCUGAUGUGAAAGCCCCCGGCUCAACCGGGGAGGGUCAUUGGAAACUGGGGAACUUGAGUGCAGAAGAGGAGAGUGGAAUUCCACGUGUAGCGGUGAAAUGCGUAGAGAUGUGGAGGAACACCAGUGGCGAAGGCGACUCUCUGGUCUGUAACUG
rnacentral:rRNA from 1 species